rnacentral:rRNA from 1 species
AUUGAACGCUGGCGGCAGGCCUAACACAUGCAAGUCGAGCGUAGAGGCGGACGGGUGAGUAAUGCCUAGUAAUCUGCAUGGUAGUGGGGGAUAACGUCCGUAAACGGGCGCUAAUCCCGCAUACUAUCAGAUGAGCCUAGGUCGGAUUAGCUUGUUGGUGGGGUAAAGGCCUACCAAGGCGACGAUCCGUAACUGGUCUGAGAGGAUGAUCAGUCACACUGGAACUGAGACACGGUCCAGACUCCUACGGGAGGCAGCAGUGGGGAAUAUUGGACAAUGGGCGAAAGCCUGAUCCAGCCAUGCCGCGUGUGUGAAGAAGGUCUUCGGAUUGUAAAGCACUUUAAGUUGGGAGGCGUUACCAACAGAAUAAGCACCGGCUAACUUCGUGCCAGCAGCCGCGGUAAUUC